CGAGUAUAAAAACCGUGGAAACCCUAAUUACUCAAGCUUAGCCGUCACUCCCUCACUUCUCUCUCUUAAUUUCUUUCCCUCACUCACGGUUCAGCAGCUGCCCAUUUUCCUUCUCCCUUCUCCUCUGCGCUGCCUUCGCCUCCCUCCACAAGCAGCAGCCUCGCGUUCGCCUCCCUCCACAAGCAGCAGUCUCGCGUGUUCUCCUCCUCGCAAGCAGCAGCAAGGCUGCGUUUUUUCUUCUCCCCUUCUGCCGAAAAGGGCUGCCGCCACAACAGCCACGGUCCGGCCACGUGGAGCCCUUCACACCAUCUAGUCUUCACUCUUUUUUUAAUUACCCCAUUGUUCCCAAUUCAUAAGAGGAAAGUAGACCCUUAGUUGGGUGAUUUUUGUGGCUUGUCAUCUUGCAGUGCAGCAGGGACGUCGUAGAUAGGUCUUGCAGGUUUUGGAGUUUCCUUGCAUUGCAUAUGGGGG